CGCCGACCCCGCCGGCGGUACGCGCGGCUGGCGUUGGUGUUAACGGGGCCGACACGCUGCACUCAAGAGAACGGGGUUCCUGUUAACAUACUGAUUUCCUGAAUGAAAGCUGAAACGGACUGAGAGUUGCUCCUUCAAGAUGCCAGGUGAUGACAGCUCUGGAGGAUGUACAUGAAUCCCUGGGAAAGGGAAGACGGAAGCCAUCAGGGACAUGAAGAGGCAUAUAUUAUGUGGGCAGAAGAUUCUGUGUUCUGGUCAAUAACAUAGGCCAAAGAGGUCAAUGGCAUUCAGGCAAGCCUGCCUGAAAGCCCCUAUAAAUUUUCAAAGGUGGGUGAGGAAGAUUUAGAGACUGGAUGUGUUCUGCCCAUGCAGGAGGAAAGAUAAAAUGCCACUCUGUAAAGGGGAACAUAAAAACCUUAAGAGGCUAUACAGUCUCCUUAAUGGGGGAAGAAUUUUGCCCACCCAGGUUUUAUUUUACUGCAGGGACACAUCAAAAGGGCACUUGAAAUUGAUGCUUAGAGAAAACUGAUCCACCAAGGCAACAGCUAAAGCUUUCUUUCCGCCUUCUCUUCUGCCCCCGUUCCUCUUUUGUCACCACCUAUUUUGAUGCAACACCUUCAGAAGAGGCAGCUUGUCACUGACACAGUGAUGAACACCCCCACCAUCCUUCCUUUCCAGAUGUUUCUUGCUUCCUGCUUCCAAGUCAAAGUUGGCACAGGCCCAAAGAAAUACACAUAUUUUCACUCUGCUUAGGAAUAAAAGUACUAUUUUAUAAGCUA